UUUCUCUCCUUCAGAGCUAUAUUUCCUCAGCUUCCCCCCUUUUAUGUAAAUUAUGACUUUUUUGUAAAACCCCCAAUCUCAUACACACACACAAACAAACACUAAAAACUGAAUAGUCAGUGGACAGUUUUAACUGCAUGAUAAUGGAGAAUUCAUGAACUGUAAGAUAGGUCAGAAAAAGGCUAUUCAGAACUCACAUAUGAGGAUAAAAAACACCACAACCACUUUGGAAGGCUGGCAGUUUCUUAGAAAGUUAAACAUGUUCCUACCUUACAACAACUGUACAAUUACAUACCUAGGUAUUUACCUGAGAAAAAUGAAAAUAUGUAUACACAAAAAAUAUGUACAGCCAUGUACAUAAAGGUUUAUCUGUAAGAGCCUCAAACUAGAAACAAUACAAAUGUCAUGAAAAGGUAAAUGGAAAAACAUUCAUACAACGAAAUCUUACAUAGCAAUGUAAAAGAACAAAUCAUCAAUACACACAACAAUAUAUAAAUCUCAGAAACUUUGUUUUGAGCAAAAGAAGCCAGAAAACAAAAAGCAUAUAUUAUAUAAUUUCAUUUACAUGAGGGUCAAGAACAAGCAUAACUCAUGGGGAUAGACAAUGGUUAUUUCAGGGGAAAGGGUUUGACUAAAAAGGGGUACAAGAAUAAUUACUGGAGUAAUAGAAAUGUACUAUAUCUUGGUUUGGUAGUAGCUAUAUACUUGUCAAAGCUUAUUAAAUUAUAUAUUGUUAAAAAUCUUUGCACUUUAUUGUAAUAAAUUAUACUGUAAUAAAAAGAUUUUUGAAUGGAGUAGAAUCAGAGAAUGGCAAUAUAAAAUUUAACUAAAAACCUAAGAAGAGAGCAGAAAUAGGACAGAAGUAAUAUUUGAGGAGAUAAUAGCUAAUAAUUCUCUCAACCAGAAAGAUGAACUGCUAAGUUAACAUGAGAGAAACAUAAUUAAAUAUUUCUCAAGAAAACCUAGAUUCUCAGUUUUUUGUGAGGUAUUUUCAUUUUUCAUGAAAAAUUUUCAGCAGGCAUGUAGACUAGUUUUUACCUCUUUUCUACAUCCUUUAUUUCUGCUGCAAUAAACACAACUAACUGCCAGUCAUACACAGACUUGUACUAUUCGCUAUGGUGGACACUGACUACAUGUGACUACUGAACACUUGAAAUAUGGAAAUGGACAUGUACUAUAAGUGCAAACUAUACAUUAAAUAUCAAAGACAGUAUGAUAAAAAGUUUAAAAUUGAUUGAUUUAAGGAAUAUUUACAUAAUUUUAUUUUAAAUAUAUUGGGUUAAGCUAAGCAUGGUAGUGUACAACUAUAAUCCCAAAAUUGGAGAGGCUGAGGUUUGCCACAAGUUUGAGGCCAGCCUAGGCUACAUAGUGAGAAGCAAACAACAACAAAAAUUAUACAUACAGUUAAAUAUAUUAUUGUGAAAAUGGAAGGAGAUCUGUAAAUAGGAGGAGGGGAGAGGAAAGGGAAAUAAAAAUUAAGAUGCAGUAUGCAUAUGUACUAAUUCCUCAAAAUGAAUAUAAUUAUUGUGCAUCACAAACAUAUAUUAAUAAAAAAGAAAUUAAAAAUAAGAUUAAAUUAAUUUCACUUUUUUUUACCCUUUUAAAUCAUUACUAGAAAAUUUUCAAUUAUAUAUGUGGCUCACAUUUUUGGUUUAUAUUAUACUUUUAUUGGAGAGAGCUGACAUAGAUUGAUAUUAAUGUCAUUUUACUUAUAAAAAUAUAGAAAUGGUAUGUGCAGAAAACUGCACAACAUAUAAUAUAUACAAUUUUAUUAAUAAUUAUAAAUGGGACAUCCAUAGCCACCCAGAUCAAGCAAUAAAACAUUUCUAGGAUUCUAGAAUUCCACUGAGUGCCCUUUCUCAUUCAAAGUCCUGUUCCUUUUUCCCUAAAGGUAGUCACUAUCCUUUUAUUGUAUCAUAGUCCUGUUUUUCUUUAUAGUUUUACCACCUACUUCUGUAACCAUAUAAUGUGCCUUGAUCUAUUUUAUACCUUUAUAUAAAUGAAAUCAAACUGCAUGCAAUCCUUUUGGCCUUACUUCUUUUUAAUAUGUUUUUAAGAUUCAUUCAUGUAGUACAUGUAUCUG
rnacentral:lncRNA from 1 species